rnacentral:rRNA from 1 species
UGGGGAAUUUUGCACAAUGGGCGGAAGCCUGAUGCAGCGACGCCGUGUGGGGGAUGAAGGCCUUCGGGUUGUAAACUCUUUUCGUCAUGGACGAAGUUUGUUUGACGGUACCUGGAUAAGAAGCACCGGCUAACUACGUGCCAGCAGCCGCGGUAAUACGUAGGGUGCGAGCGUUGUCCGGAUUUACUGGGCGUAAAGGGCUCGUAGGUGGUGUGUUGCUUCGUCUGUGUAAUCCAGGGGCUUAACUUUUGGUUGGCAGGCGAUACGGGCAUUGCUUGAGUGCUGUAGGGGAGACUGGAAUUCCUGGUGUAGCGGUGAAAUGCGCAGAUAUCAGGAGGAACACCGAUGGCGAAGGCAGGUCUCUGGGCAGUUACUGACGCUGAGGAGCGAGAGCAUGGGUAGCGAACAGG